AAACCAGCACCUCAAGUGGUCAGGAUGAUUAUUGGGCCUAAAGCAUCCGUAGCCUGCUUUGUAAGUUUUCGGUUAAAUCCAUAUGCUCAACAUAUGGGCUGCCGGAAAUACUGCACAGCUAGGGAGUGGGAGAGGUAGACGGUACUCGGUAGGAAGGGGUAAAAUCCUUUGAUCUAUUGAUGACCACCUGUGGCGAAGGCGGUCUACCAGAACACGUUCGACGGUGAGGGAUGAAAGCUGGGGGAGCAAACCGGAUUAGAAACCCCGGUAGUCC
rnacentral:rRNA from 1 species